GUGCCAGCAGCCGCGGUAAUACCGGCAGCCCGAGUGAUGGCCGAUCUUAUUGGGCCUAAAGCGUCCGUAGCUGGCUGCGCAAGUCCGUCGGGAAAUCCACUCGCCCAACGAGUGGGCGUCCGGUGGAAACUGCGUGGCUUGGGACCGGAAGGCGCGACGGGUACGUCCGGGGUAGGAGUGAAAUCCCGUAAUCCUGGACGGACCGCCGAUGGCGAAAGCACGUCGCGAAGACGGAUCCGACAGUGAGGGACGAAAGCUAGGGUCUCGAACCGGAUUAGAUACCCCAGUAGUCC
rnacentral:rRNA from 1 species